UUUGAUCCUGGCUCAGAUUGAACGCUGGCGGCAUGCCUUACACAUGCAAGUCGAACGGUAACGCGGGGCAACCUGGCGACGAGUGGCGAACGGGUGAGUAAUAUAUCGGAACGUGCCCAAUCGUGGGGGAUAACGUAGAGAAAUUUACGCUAAUACCGCAUACGAUCUAAGGAUGAAAGCGGGGGAUCGCAAGACCUCGCGCGAUUGGAGCGGCUGAUAUCAGAUUAGGUUGUUGGUGAGGUAAAAGCUCACCAAGCCGACGAUCUGUAGCUGGUUUGAGAGAACGACCAGCCACACUGGGACUGAGACACGGCCCAGACUCCUACGGGAGGCAGCAGUGGGGAAUUUUGGACAAUGGGCGAAAGCCUGAUCCAGCAAUGCCGCGUGCAGGAAGAAGGCCUUCGGGUUGUAAACUGCUUUUGUACGGAACGAAACGGCUCUUUCUAAUAAAGAGGGCUAAUGACGGUACCGUAAGAAUAAGCACCGGCUAA
rnacentral:rRNA from 1 species